rnacentral:tRNA from 1 species
GGGGUUGUGGCUCAGUGGUAGAGCACUCGCCUACCAUGCAUGAGGCACUGAGUUUGAUCCUUAGCACCA